UCGGGAGCGGGCAGGAGAGACAGGGUAGUGACCCCCACUCACACCAGAAAACCCCUCCCCCCGGCGAUUUUGCUGCCAACUCGAGUCGGCUACAGACAGUCCAGCCCCUUUGUGUGACUAAAUUUGGCAAGAAUAUGGAUCUGAGCCAGUCUUUCCACGUGUGCUCCCAGCUCCCAGCUGAGAAGGCCAAGGGUUCUCUUCCGGUGCUCCAGGAAAGUACCUGAUUGACAAGAUCUACAUCCAAUGCCCAGAAAACACAUCCUACACAGGCACAGUGAAGCGUGGAGUUGAAGAAUUUUCCAGUGAGUUCCAUCAAAGUAAAUAAACCAACCUAGAGCAUCAGGA